AUCCUGGCUCAGAACGAACGCUGGCGGCGCGUCUUAAGCAUGCAAGUCGAGCGGGAUUGAGUAGCUUGCUACUCAUGAGAGCGGCGGACUGGUGAGUAACGCGUGGGUGACGUACCCUGAGGAUGGGGGAUAGCUCCUAGAAAUAGGAGGUAAUACCGAAUACGGUGUGCAGAGUUAGAGACUGUACAUCAAAGGUUCUUUUGAACCGCCACAGGAGCGGCCCGCGUACUAUUAGCUAGUUGGUGAGGUAACGGCCCACCAAGGCGACGAUAGUUACCCGGCCUGAGAGGGUGAACGGGCACAUUGGGACUGAGAUACGGCCCAGACUCCUACGGGAGGCAGCAGCUAAGAAUAUUCCGCAAUGGAGGAAACUCUGACGGAGCGACGCCGCGUGGACGAUGAAGGACCCGGAAGGUUGUAAAGUCCUUUUAGAUAUGAGGAAUAAGCAGUGUGAGAGAAACGCACUGUGGUGACUGUAGUAUCAGAAUAAGGGGCGGCUAAUUACGUGCCAGCCGCGGC
rnacentral:rRNA from 1 species